UGAGAAGAACGUGAACUCACAGCCACCGAGGCCUGACAGGUUCCUGCAGUGAGAGCUCAGCGCUUGUCUGCAGAGAGAGAGAGGGGAGACGUGGGAAUGGGAAAACCAGAAACUCCCACAGACACUGAAAGAUUUGAUCUGCAGCCUCGGGAGAAGCUGGGAUUGAUGUACCAAUACAAGACACGGGCAUUACGCAGGAAAAGAAUAAAACAACAUAAAAUAACUUCUGUUUCUGUGGCUGUCAGUAGGAGCCUGCCCCGAGUCCCUGCUUUCCAGAGCACCCAUCCUCAGCCAUCUCCACUUCCCUGGAAAACCUGCUCCAGCCCCGGGCUGUACCAAGGUGAGCACAAGUCUGGAGAGGUCAGAACCCUCACCUGGACUGCUGCACUCGGAGCGAGAUCCAGCUACAAAUGGAAUUCCAGAAACAGCCUCCAAAAUGUUCCAUAAUCACACCUUUAAAAUGGCUCCACAGGGCAACAGCUCCGGUGCCAGAGCAGCACCUGCACGAGUCCUUGUGCCAGCCCUGGCUCCCUGAAAAACACAAUAAACCAACAUCACACAGGCCUUGUUUGCAGAAUUCCUGAUCCAAACCCUCACCUUUCCUGCCCAGCACUGAAGGAAAUCUGACACGGUAUUCACAGGUAACCUUUGCUGAGAGCAGCCAUCACCCCAGUCCUCCAGCCUGGGCAAGGUUUUGCAGUGAAUGGACCCAACUUCUAACCCUGAACCUAAAUUUCUGUCAGCUUUUGUUAGAAGGAUACUGGAGAGAAAAUCAUACAACAGAUUUAAAACAUUGCACGAGGAAUAACCGGCCCAGACAAAACCAAACCACCCCCAUCUCUGCUCCACCCCAUUUCUCCCAGUUUUGGGAGAAAUACUGAUAUAAUUUGUAAAUACUCUCCUUCCCUGCUGCACUAUCCUUCACUGCACGUCCCUGGAGAGGAUUUACUCCAUUUUCUGUGCCCAGCAGCACCUCUGCAGCCCAAAUCCCACUCCUCGCAGACACAGCCUGAGCAGAGCUCAGGCAGUGUUCCCAGCAGCGGAUGCAAUUCCGAGUUCCCUGGAUUGCUCACGGGGCACUCGCAGCAAUCUCCCCUCAGCCCAGACUCUGUGCUCAGAGGGAAGCGCAGCCCGAUGGGA
rnacentral:lncRNA from 1 species